rnacentral:rRNA from 1 species
CAACAACGGAUCUCUUGGUUCUGGCAUCGAUGAAGAACGCAGCGAAAUGCGAUAAGUAAUGCGAAUUGCAGAAUUUCCGUGAGUCAUCGAAUCUUUGAACGCACAUUGCGCCCACUGGUAUUCCGGUGGGCAUGCCUGUUCGAGC